rnacentral:rRNA from 1 species
AAAUAAUAAUACAAGAGCAUUUGGUGGAUGCCUUGGCGCUAGAAGGCGAUGAAGGACGUGAUACACUGCGAUAAGCUUCGGGGAGUUGUGAAUAGACUUUGAUCCGAAGAUUUCCGAAUGGGAGAACCCACCUGUUUAUCAGGUAUUACAUAGCGAAUACAUAACUAUGUAAGGCAAACUCAGUGAACUGAAAUAUCUCAUUAGCUGAAGGAAAGGACAUCAACCGAGACUCCGUUAGUAGUGACGAGCGAACGCGGACUAGGCCUGUGGCUUUAAAGUAAUAACUAGAACAAUUUGAAAAAAUUGGCAAUAAUAGGUGAUAGCCCUGUAUAGGUAAAAAGCUUUAAAGUCCUUGAGUAGAGCGGGACACGUGAAAUCCUGUCUGAACGUAGGGGGACCACCCUCUAAGCCUAAGUACUCUCUAGCGACCGAUAGUGAACUAGUACCGUGAGGGAAAGGUGAAAAGUACCCCGACGAGGGGAGUGAAAUAGUACCUGAAACCAAAUGCUUACAAGCAGUCGGAGCGGAAACUUCGUGUUUCUGUGACGGCGUACCUUUUGUAUAAUGGGUCAGCGACUUAGUUUAUCGAGCAAGCUUAAGCCGUUAGGUGUAGGCGUAGCGAAAGCGAGUCUUAAUAGGGCGACCAUAGUUCGAUGAAUUAGACCCGAAACCGAGUGAUCUAGCCAUGGCCAGGCUGAAGGUGGAGUAAUAUCCGCUGGAGGGCCGAACCCACUAAUGUUGAAAAAUUACGGGAUGAGCUGUGGCUAGGGGUGAAAGGCCAAUCAAACUCGGAGAUAGCUGGUUCUCCGCGAAAUCUAUUUAGGUAGAGCGUUAUAUGUUUACCAUCGAAGGUAGAGCACUGGAUAAGCUAGGGGGUCCAACAGACUUACCAAACUUAACCAAACUCCGAAUGUCGAUGAGUAUAGUAUAGCAGACAGACUAUGGGUGCUAAGGUCCAUAGUCGAGAGG